CCAUAUUACUUAUAGAUCGAUUUUUAUAGUUUUGUAAUCCUGCUUU
rnacentral:sRNA from 1 species